GUCGUACAGAAGGCAUGUACAGGUCUGGUUCACAGGUCAUAGGGUCUUACAGAAGGCAUGUACAGGUCUGGUUCACAGGUCAUAGGGUCUUACAGAAGGCAUGUACAGGUCUGGUUCACAGGUCAUAGGGUCUUACAGAAGGCAUGUACAGGUCUGGUUCACAGGUCAUAGGGUCUUACAGAAGGCAUGUACAGGUCUGGUUCACAGGUCAUAGGGUCGUACAGAAGGCAUGUACAGGUCUGGUUCACAGGUCAUAGGGUCUUACAGAAGGCAUGUACAGGUCUGGUUCACAGGUCAUAGGGUCGUACAGAAGGCAUGUACAGGUCUGGUUCACAGGUCAUAGGGUCGUACAGAAGGCAUGUACAGGUCUGGUUCACAGGUCAUAGGGUCGUACAGAAGGCAUGUACAGGUCUGGUUCACAGGUCAUAGGGUCUUACAGAAGGCAUGUACAGGUCUGGUUCACAGGUCAUAGGGUCUUACAGAAGGCAUGUACAGGUCUGGUUCACAGGUCAUAGGGUCUUACAGAAGGCAUGUACAGGUCUGGUUCACAGGUCAUAGGGUCUUACAGAAGGCAUGUACAGGUCUGGUUCACAGGUCAUAGGGUCGUACAGAAGGCAUGUACAGGUCUGGUUCACAGGUCAUAGGGUCGUACAGAAGGCAUGUACAGGUCUGGUUCACAGGUCAUAGGGUCGUACAGAAGGCAUGUACAGGUCUGGUUCACAGGUCAUAGGGUCUUACAGAAGGCAUGUACAGGUCUGGUUCACAGGUCAUGGGGUCUUACAGAAGGCAUGUACAGGUCUGGUUCACAGGUCAUAGGGUCGUACAGAAGGCAUGUACAGGUCUGGUUCACAGGUCAUAGGGUCUUACAGAAGGCAUGUACAGGUCUGGUUCACAGGUCAUAGGGUCUUACAGAAGGCAUGUACAGGUCUGGUUCACAGGUCAUAGGGUCUUACAGAAGGCAUGUACAGGUCUGGUUCACAGGUCAUAGGGUCUUACAGAAGGCAUGUACAGGUCUGGUUCACAGGUCAUAGGGUCGUACAGAAGGCAUGUACAGGUCUGGUUCACAGGUCAUAGGGUCGUACAGAAGGCAUGUACAGGUCUGGUUCACAGGUCAUAGGGUCUUACAAAAGGCAUGUACAGGUCUGGUUCACAGGUC